rnacentral:rRNA from 1 species
UUAAGCGACUAAGCGUACACGGUGGAUGCCCUGGCAGUCAGAGGCGAUGAAGGACGUGCUAAUCUGCGAUAAGCGUCGGUAAGGUGAUAUGAACCGUUAUAACCGGCGAUUUCCGAAUGGGGAAACCCAGUGUGUUUCGACACACUAUCAUUAACUGAAUCCAUAGGUUAAUGAGGCGAACCGGGGGAACUGAAACAUCUAAGUACCCCGAGGAAAAGAAAUCAACCGAGAUUCCCCCAGUAGCGGCGAGCGAACGGGGAGCAGCCCAGAGCCUGAAUCAGUGUGUGUGUUAGUGGAAGCGUCUGGAAAGGCGCGCGAUACAGGGUGACAGCCCCGUACACAAAAAUGCACAUGCUGUGAGCUCGAUGAGUAGGGCGGGACACGUGGUAUCCUGUCUGAAUAUGGGGGGACCAUCCUCCAAGGCUAAAUACUCCUGACUGACCGAUAGUGAACCAGUACCGUGAGGGAAAGGCGAAAAGAACCCCGGCGAGGGGAGUGAAAAAGAACCUGAAACCGUGUACGUACAAGCAGUGGGAGCAUGCUUAGGCGUGUGACUGCGUACCUUUUGUAUAAUGGGUCAGCGACUUAUAUUCUGUAGCAAGGUUAACCGAAUAGGGGAGCCGAAGGGAAACCGAGUCUUAACUGGGCGUUAAGUUGCAGGGUAUAGACCCGAAACCCGGUGAUCUAGCCAUGGGCAGGUUGAAGGUUGGGUAACACUAACUGGAGGACCGAACCGACUAAUGUUGAAAAAUUAGCGGAUGACUUGUGGCUGGGGGUGAAAGGCCAAUCAAACCGGGAGAUAGCUGGUUCUCCCCGAAAGCUAUUUAGGUAGCGCCUCGUGAACUCAUCUCCGGGGGUAGAGCACUGUUUCGGCAAGGGGGUCAUCCCGACUUACCAACCCGAUGCAAACUGCGAAUACCGGAGAAUGUUAUCACGGGAGACACACGGCGGGUGCUAACGUCCGUCGUGAAGAGGGAAACAACCCAGACCGCCAGCUAAGGUCCCAAAGUCAUGGUUAAGUGGGAAACGAUGUGGGAAGGCCCAGACAGCCAGGAUGUUGGCUUAGAAGCAGCCAUCAUUUAAAGAAAGCGUAAUAGCUCACUGGUCGAGUCGGCCUGCGCGGAAGAUGUAACGGGGCUAAACCAUGCACCGAAGCUGCGGCAGCGACGCUUAUGCGUUGUUGGGUAGGGGAGCGUUCUGUAAGCCUGUGAAGGUGUACUGUGAGGUAUGCUGGAGGUAUCAGAAGUGCGAAUGCUGACAUAAGUAACGAUAAAGCGGGUGAAAAGCCCGCUCGCCGGAAGACCAAGGGUUCCUGUCCAACGUUAAUCGGGGCAGGGUGAGUCGACCCCUAAGGCGAGGCCGAAAGGCGUAGUCGAUGGGAAACAGGUUAAUAUUCCUGUACUUGGUGUUACUGCGAAGGGGGGACGGAGAAGGCUAUGUUGGCCGGGCGACGGUUGUCCCGGUUUAAGCGUGUAGGCUGGUUUUCCAGGCAAAUCCGGAAAAUCAAGGCUGAGGCGUGAUGACGAGGCACUACGGUGCUGAAGCAACAAAUGCCCUGCUUCCAGGAAAAGCCUCUAAGCAUCAGGUAACAUCAAAUCGUACCCCAAACCGACACAGGUGGUCAGGUAGAGAAUACCAAGGCGCUUGAGAGAACUCGGGUGAAGGAACUAGGCAAAAUGGUGCCGUAACUUCGGGAGAAGGCACGCUGAUAUGUAGGUGAAGCGACUUGCUCGUGGAGCUGAAAUCAGUCGAAGAUACCAGCUGGCUGCAACUGUUUAUUAAAAACACAGCACUGUGCAAACACGAAAGUGGACGUAUACGGUGUGACGCCUGCCCGGUGCCGGAAGGUUAAUUGAUGGGGUCAGCGCAAGCGAAGCUCUUGAUCGAAGCCCCGGUAAACGGCGGCCGUAACUAUAACGGUCCUAAGGUAGCGAAAUUCCUUGUCGGGUAAGUUCCGACCUGCACGAAUGGCGUAAUGAUGGCCAGGCUGUCUCCACCCGAGACUCAGUGAAAUUGAACUCGCUGUGAAGAUGCAGUGUACCCGCGGCAAGACGGAAAGACCCCGUGAACCUUUACUAUAGCUUGACACUGAACAUUGAGCCUUGAUGUGUAGGAUAGGUGGGAGGCUUUGAAGUGUGGACGCCAGUCUGCAUGGAGCCGACCUUGAAAUACCACCCUUUAAUGUUUGAUGUUCUAACG